UACAGAGGGUGCAAGCGUUGUUCGGAAUUAUUGGGCGUAAAGUGUGCGCAGGCGGCCGCGCAAGUCGAGUGUGAAAUCCCCGAGCUUAACUUGGGAAUUGCGCUCGAAACUACGUGGCUGGAGUGCGGCAGAGGAAGGUGGAAUUCCACGUGUAGCGGUGAAAUGCGUAGAUAUGUGGAGGAACACCGAUGGCGAAGGCAGCCUUCUGGGCCAACACUGACGCUCAUGCACGAAAGCGUGGGGAGCAAACAGG
rnacentral:rRNA from 1 species